rnacentral:rRNA from 1 species
UUUCCUACGGGGCGCAGCAGUGGGGAAUAUUGCACAAUGGGGGAAACCCUGAUGCAGCGACGCCGCGUGAAGGAAGAAGUAUUUCGGUAUGUAAACUUCUAUCAGCAGGGAAGAAAAUGACGGUACCUGACUAAGAAGCCCCGGCUAACUACGUGCCAGCAGCCGCGGUAAUACGUAGGGGGCAAGCGUUAUCCGGAUUUACUGGGUGUAAAGGGAGCGUAGGCGGCGAUGUAAGUCAGAAGUGAAAGCCCGGGGCUCAACUCCGGGACUGCUUUUGAAACUGUAUGGCUAGAUUGCAGGAGAGG